rnacentral:misc_RNA from 1 species
GAAAUGCGAUAAGUAAUGUGAAUUGCAGAAUUCAGUGAAUCAUCGAAUCUUUGAACGCACAUUGCGCCCGCCAGUAUUCUGGCGGGCAUGCCUGUUCGAGCGUCAUUACAACCCUCAGGCCCCCGGGCCUGGCGUUGGGGAUCGGCGGAAGCCCCCUGCGGGCACAACGCCGUCCCCCAAAUACAGUGGCGGUCCCGCCGCAGCUUCCAUUGCGUAGUAGCUAACACCUCGCAACUGGUGAGCGGCGCGGCCACGCCGUAAAACACCCAACUUCUGAAUGUUGACCUCGAAUCAGGUAGGAAUACCCGCUGAACUUAAGC